CUUUUUCCUCAGGAGCGAAAUUCACAAAAUUUUCAAAACCCUAAUUUCUAUAUCUUCAAGCCUCUCCCGCUUCCUACUCCAUCAUCACUCCAGACUCCAGUUGUUCAUGCUCCACUACCUCAUCACCUGUUUUUGAUUCUCUAUGAUUACAAGGAUCAAUCGAUUGUAAGGUAAUGUUAAUGAUUGUUGAUGGCUGCUAAGUAACCCCUACUUGAGUAAGUUGAUGGCUGCUAAGUAACCCCUACAAGUAUUCAUUCCGCCUUGAAGUAUCCGCAGGGACCGCCAGGUCAGAUUGAACUGAAAUGAUGUUCAUGGAUGUUGAUGCAUUUGAAUGGAAAUCAGAGUUACUUGCUGAUGGAGUAGCAUCUUCUCUUGGUUUUUCACCCCGAGAUAGCUGGUAAUCAAGAGAGACAUAUCUGAUGUAGGUUCCUGGAGAAAAUAUGGAUUAUUGAACAAGGAGGGAAGUUAACUCUAUAGUGGUUACAUGUGUAAUUCCUUAGAUUUUUGGUAAAUACUUGUGUGAUCUCAACUAAUGUAAAAUAUGAUGUUAUUAUUUUUUUGGAUUAUUUAUAAAAGUACUACCUAAAGUACUUCGUUUUGUAUAUAAUAAUUGGAUAAUUAUGUAAAUUUAUUUAUCUUUUUAAUGAAAGUUGAAUUUUAA